rnacentral:misc_RNA from 1 species
GAUGAAGAACGCAGCGAAAUGCGAUAAGUAGUGUGAAUUGCAGAAUUCAGUGAAUCAUCGAAUCUUUGAACGCACAUUGCGCCCCUUGGUAUUCCAUGGGGCAUGCCUGUUCGAGCGUCAUUUGUACCUUCAAGCUCUGCUUGGUGUUGGGUGUUUGUCCUUGCUCUAGUGGCGGGACUCGCCUUAAAGUAAUUGGCUGCCAGUGUUUUGGUUUUGAAGCGCAGCACAAGUCGCGAUUCAAGUCUAUACGCUAGUUUCCACAAGUCUUUUAUCACUUUUGACCUCGGAUCAGGUAGGGAUACCCGCUGAACUUAAGCAUAUCAAUAAGCGGAGGA